AGUGAACGCUGGCGGUAGGCCUAACACAUGCAAGUCGAACGGCAGCACAGUAAGAGCUUGCUCUUACGGGUGGCGAGUGGCGGACGGGUGAGGAAUACAUCGGAAUCUACUUUUUCGUGGGGGAUAACGUAGGGAAACUUACGCUAAUACCGCAUACGACCUACGGGUGAAAGCAGGGGAUCUUCGGACCUUGCGCGAUUGAAUGAGCCGAUGUCGGAUUAGCUAGUUGGCGGGGAAAAGGCCCACCAAGGCGACGAUCCGUAGCUGGUCUUAGAGGAUGAUCAGCCACACUGGAACUGAGACACGGUCCAGACUCCUACGGGAGGCAGCAGUGGGGAAUAUUGGACAAUGGGCGCAAGCCUGAUCCAGCCAUACCGCGUGGGUGAAGAAGGCCUUCGGGUUGUAAAGCCCUUUUGUUGGGAAAGAAAAGCAGCAGGUUAAUACCCCGCUGUUCUGACGGUACCCAAAGAAUAAGCACCGGCUAACUUCGUG
rnacentral:rRNA from 1 species